UCGACAAUACUCGUGCAAGGCACCUGACAUAUACUUUAAUUUUGUCAAUGCUUUAAUUAGCAAAAUUCGACUUCCCAGUUCCCACUUCUUCAAACCUCAACUGCUCCCCCCAAUAUGCCUCAAACCCUAAAUUGAGUUCAUCAGUUCUCUGAUAUGCAAUUCGCACGUCGGGUGUUUUCGAAUUCCCCUUGAUCUGGUCAUCUUCAACCUCCAUCAGUUAGCGCAAUUCGGAAGCUGCGAGAUUAGACAAUUUGACAUCGAAAAUUGGGGAAUUUCAUUAGAAUUCUUCUGAUUCGCAGUCUCACAGAUUUUGAACUUCCAAUUUUUCUUGGAUUAUUCUUUUUUCCCUCUCAUCAUCUUCGGCUCUUAACUGCUUGGUCGCUAAGAGAACCAAAUCAACUGCUAAUUCAAAUUUUGUUUGUAACAGGCAAGUUAUUAUGGUUUUAUCUUCCAUAAUUCUAGUUUUAAUUUCUAAUUGUGCUAUUCUUUGUGAGUCUAGUUAAAGAUGAGUUUUUGUUUGAUAUUUUUGUAAUCUUGCUAUGCGUUUUCCAGGUAAAUUUGCCUUCAUGCUUCUCUGGUAUUUUAUCUUAUUGUUUAUCUUCUAUCUCUUUCCUAGUUACUGUUUGUUGAAUGUUGAUCUCUAUAUGCCAUUUCAUUCUCAUAAAUGUCUAAGAGAGUGUCUAGAUUAUGCUCUAUGCUUGAGGUUAAUGCUAUCUAGAGGGUUGACAUUCUGUGCUUAGUUUCUAAGCAUAGAAUAAAGUGAUAAGGAACUGGAACAAAAACAAAUUAAUAGAAGUUAAUAAUACCUUAACAGGAGGAAAAGGAGGGUGAUUAUGGUUUUAGUUUUUGUUUGUUCUAAUCUAUGCAUUUCUUGGUCCGCUCACAGAAUUCUGUACGCUAGAGAUUACUUGAUAUUAUCAGUACAUUGUUAAAUUCUUUUUAAUAUUCAAUGAAGCAAGAUGAACAAAUAAAUAACAUCGCACAAUUCCUAAAUAGAGGUGUUGUAUUGGUCUAUUUUAUAUCAGAUAUGAUUGGUUGUACCUUCUGAAGGCUUAAAUAAAUAGAUUAGGAAAAAAAAGCUUUGUUCAUUGUCUAAUCCGAGCCUGGUAGCCUUACACAUUAGUUGGUAUAAAUCUAUCUGCAAAUCAGAUCAAAGUAAUCUACUAGACCAUAGGGAGUGUUUUCUUGGGUUGAUUUCGCCUUAUCUUCACUUAUGGCAGCGAUGAUAUUUACCCCGGGUGCAAUUACAUCAGGCUGAAAGCAUACUUUGAUUUAGAAAAUGAGUAACACCUCAAAUAACAAGAAUAUAUAUAAAAGAGAAUUAGAAAUAGAUAAUUCUGAUACUGAUUGUCAGAUUAAUCAUUGAGGAUGAAUCUUGAAUUUUGCAAGUACCUUCCGAAUCCGUUUAACUAGUCUGAAAUUGUCAUAUGUUUUUUCUCUGUUUGAUUGUUUAUGUUUGGCAUAUAAAAGAAAAUAUUAACAUGUGCGAAUAUUUUGAUAUACCUCAAAAUUGGGAAUUAUUUUUGGUGUAUUGACUGUAUCUUGUUCUCACUGUUCUUAUAUUAGCAUUGUUAGCACAUCACAAUAAUAAUUUAGUCAUUUUCUUAGAUUUAGUGCAUUUAUAUAAUUAUAUAAGUUGUAGUUAUUUGUGUUACAGCUUCUGUUGAAGAAAACAAUGAUAGGAGAAGCAACACCAAAGAUCACCCCCUAGGCCAUUGGUUCAUGAAUUUUUCAGAGGCAGACAAACUACUCAAACUUGCUGCCGCUCGUCAACAGGAUAAUGCCGAUCGAACGUCUUCAUUUGUUGUGCUCAUUAAUCUACUACGUCCACUGGACCACUCAAGAUGGCCAGCGCCAGCAUCAAAUGAAGCCUUUACUGUCAGAAAUCAGAAGUUCUCUGAUCUUGUUGUCAAAUGUCUGAUCAAACUAACAAAGGUAACAUCCUCAUUUAACAGAC